GAUGAACGCUAGCGGCAGGCUUAAUACAUGCAAGUCAAGGGGUAGCAAUACAACCGGCGCACGGGUGAGUAACGCGUACACAACAUACCAUAUACUGGGGUAUAGCUUUGGGAAACUGAAGGUAAUCCCCCAUAACAUUGCGAGAGGGCAUCUGAUUGCAAUUAAAGUUUCGGCGGUAUAUGAUUGGUGUGCGUUUGAUUAGCUAGUUGGUAGGGUAACGGCCUACCAAGGCGACGAUCAAUAGCUGGCGUGAGAGCGCGACCAGCCACACUGGAACUGAGACACGGUCCAGACUCCUACGGGAGGCAGCAGUAGGGAAUAUUGGACAAUGGGCGCAAGCCUGAUCCAGCCAUGCCGCGUGAUAGAUGAAGGCCCUCUGGGUUGUAAAUAUCUUUAUUCUGGGAAGAAACUCCUCUAUUCUUAGAGGCCUGACGGUACCAGAGGAAUAAGCACCGGCUAACUCCGUGCCAGCAGCCGCGGUAAU
rnacentral:rRNA from 1 species